rnacentral:rRNA from 1 species
GUAGGGAAUAUUGGGCAAUGGAGGCAACUCUGACCCAGCCAUGCCGCGUGCAGGAUGACGGCCCUCUGGGUUGUAAACUGCUUUUAUACGGGAAGAAAAAAUACUACGUGUAGUAUACUGACGGUACCGUAAGAAUAAGGAUCGGCUAACUCCGUGCCAGCAGCCGCGGUAAUACGGAGGAUCCAAGCGUUGGCCGGAUUUAUUGGGUUUAAAGGGUGCGUAGGCGGAUCUUUAAGUCAGUGGUGAAAGCCUGCAGCUUAACUGUAGAAUUGCCAUUGAAACUGAAGAUCUUGAAUGUGGUUAAAGUAGGCGGAAUGUAUCAUGUAGCGGUGAAAUGCUUAGAUAUGAUACAGAACACCGAUAGCGAAGGCAGCUUGCUGAACCAUUAUUGACGCUGAGGCACGAAAGCGUGGGGAGCGAACAGGAUUAGAAACCCGUGUAGUCC